rnacentral:rRNA from 1 species
UACGGAAGGUGCAAGCGUUGUUCGGAAUGAUUGGGCGUAAAGCGCACGUAGGCGGUUUUGUAAGUUAGAUGUGAAAUCCCCGGGCUUAACCCGGGAAGGUCGUCUAAGACUGCAAAUCUUGAAUGCUUGAGAGGUUGGUGGAAUUCCUGGUGUAGGAGUGAAAUCCGUAGAUAUCAGGAGGAACAUCGGAGGCGAAGGCGGCCAACUGGCGAAGCAUUGACGCUGAGGUGCGAAAGCGUGGGUAGCAAACAGG